GGUCGUCUAGCUUAACGGUAGAGCCCUGCAAGUGUUAGGUAACUGAAAGCACAAAUAUAUAAGCAGGUGGUUGCGGGUUCGAGUCUCGCCGAGGCCA